AUGCAACACCUGUACGAAUGCUUUACAGAACAUACCUAGAUGCACAUUUUCUGUUCUAAAGUUCCUUUUAGGAUGUUUAAGAACUCAAGCAACUGGGAUGUUAAAACAGAAAAUACUGCUCCUUGGACUCCAGGUAAUGUGCCUGCAGGAACAGAACCACUGUAGAGGACGCCACGAAUAUUCUGAAGACAACAUUCUGAAUUGUGUUCAGAAGUCCCCUCCUACCCUUGCUGAAUUUUGCUUCCAUCAAAGGGACGCUCGCUGCGCAGCCGCCACAUUUUCAGUGACUUGGGACCCACCGAUGGAGUCUGCGCUCAGAAGUCAAAGUCCUUCUAAAACAGCCUCGAUGACCGCUUGAGAGAGAGAGAAACACUGAUGCAAGAUAAAAACAUCGAUCAGCCGCCUUCUCAUGCCUGCAGUGACUGGGAAUCAAACCUGCGACCUCAGUAUGCAACUCGGUAUUCGACCAUGAGUCAAACCCACGACUUUCCAGUCUAUGAGAUGACACCACAACCAACUGAGCCACACCAGCCAGGCUAAAAGAGUUGUUUUCAAAGAUUUUUUUAAUUUACUGAUUUUAGAAAAAGAGAGGAAAGAAGAGACAAAGAGAAAAAACAUCAUUUUCAUGGAUUCUGGUUAAUUCUUAUAUGUGCUCUGACUGGGGAUCGAACCUGCAAACUUGGCAUAGGGGGAUGACACUAUAACCAACAGAGCUACCCAGCCAGGCCCUAAAAAACUAUGUUAAAAAAUGUAAAUGUUUCAGAAAUGAGCUACAUGCAAGUACUUUAUAGUAGCUAUCAUUGAAUCAGGGAGUUUUGAGUUAUACAUAAGACAUGAACAAUGGGAUGAUCAGAGUUACUGCUUAUGUUGAUUUGUGAUUCUUUAGAGUAAAACUUCGUUGUAGAAAUUUAGAGAUUGGGCACUUUUUUUGAACCAUAGCUAUGCCACUCGUAAGUAUCAACUUUGGGAAAAGUGCUUCAUUUUGCUUGUUUGUAAAACUGGACUAGUGAUGGUGGUUUGCCUCUGGCUCAGAGCUGCCCUCAAGACCACGUGACAGACCACAAAUACAUGAGAGAACGUGUAUUUGUUCUAACAGAAGCACAAACGUAAGUUAGGCUACGAGUCACCAGUCCAUAGGUUUCUGCACUGAUGUGCUUCCACACGACCACGUGAAACAAAUGUGCCGUCAACCUCCAUGAUGUGGUAGCAGUGCUAACACCUAAUCUGCUUCUCUGGAGAUGAGCUCAACUGUGCUCAGGACAAGGCGCGCUUCUUCCAUCUUUGUGAUGGACUACAGUGUUGCCAUUAAAAGGUGCAUCCUUUAUUUGACAAGGUUGAGUAGGAUAAUUCUUUCAAAGAAAAAAACAUUCCAGAUGGUUACAUUUCGGUCCGAGCCCAUCCUGAGAACAUUCUCCAGCCCUAAGCCCACAUACUGUGUGGGCUGUAUAUGUGCCCACAUACUGUAUAUGUGCACAUUGUAUAGUUGCAUGCAUGUAGACACACACACACACACACUCAGUACUACAUUUUUCAUUGGAUUUUGAACUGCACGCAAUUUCUUCACUUUAAAGCUUUGCUUUCCAGGACGCAGUUGUUUGAGAGGUGGUAGCAAUAAUCACACUGGCCUUAGUAGUUCUGUCUCCUUUUGUGAAUGAUCUAUUUCUACAAUAUUUUUGCUCAUUAAUGCACAUUUUAUUCAUGGAACUAUUUUCACUAGAGACCUGUGCAGGAAAUACUGAUAUGUUACGGCCACGUGAGCCUUUUUUCUUCUUUCAUUUGCAGGCUCCUUCCAUCCUUUCACCACCAAGGACAGGUUAGUGAAGUCUUCUGUCCCGUGGCCGAAUCUGACUAGAAACCUGGCACUCUCCUGGCUUCCUUCUGCUUACAAUUGGUUUCUUUUUGUUUUUAGACAAUUACCAACUUGCAAAGAAAAUUACAAGAACAGGGCAGGGAAUUCCCAUACACUGUUCACCCAGAGACACUCUCCAGUUUCAUUAACCGUCUGGACAAUGUCCUUUAAAGCCAAAGGAUCUGAUCCAGAAUCGCCCUGUUAUGUGUUCGUCCAUCCUGUCUUCUCAGUUUCCUUACACCUGGAAUACUCUUGGCUGUUUUGUAGA